CUCCUCUGGCUUCUCCUCUCCUCUGCCUAACCAAACCUAACCCCCAGUUCUCUUUUGGGGUUUGGUCUGGUCUGGUUUUCCCUUUGACAUUUCUGAGGCCGUUCUCUGUUUCUGAUUGGUGGAAGGUUCCAAAGCAUCUUAUCUGUUUGUGUAGAUGGUGAUAAAUGAUAUGAUCCUCUUUGUAUUCUUCCACAGCUUUCUUGAACUGCAUCUAGCAUAAGAGAUCUGAUCUUUGCAUUUGAGGCAGAGGUUGCUCUAGAUUUUGGUUUGUGGUUCAAUAAAGCUGUGGGAAGAUACAAACAGGUUCAAAAAAAACAAAAGCUUCAAGCAAAAUUCAGCAUAUAUCAGAAGACGAUCUCUUCAGAUCAUGGUUAUGUCUUCACAACUAUGGCAAGGAAAGUCGAUUUGGGAAAAGGAUGUUGAUCCAUGUUCUUCAUUCAAAUUAGAACACGUGCCUUUCAGUCAAUAUCCAAUUUCUCUCAGCAUUUUUGGGACAACCAGAUCAUUUUACCAUGUGUGCAAGGGAUCAAAUUGAAUCUUUCAUGGUCCUGAGGAAGUGAGCCAGAUCGGCCAAGAAUAUUUAGAGCUUGGUAUAUCAAGAACUUGAUCGGCUGGAUUUACAGUUUGUGGUCUCACGGGGAUUUGAAUGCAUCCGACGAAUAGGGCCAAAACCCUUUUUUGUCACUUGAAAUUAAAGACGUUGGUCACGUUGCACUUGCCUAUAUCAUAUAGGUCAUAUGAUAAUGAUGCUCCACCUUAACUACUUUUUAUGUAAUUCAGUGUUAAUGUCGUCCACUAAUCUAGCAUUUGCUGUAAACCGUUUUUAAUUCUUGGUUUUCCUUUUGGAUUUUCUUGUUGAUAA